rnacentral:rRNA from 1 species
AACGAACGCUGGCGGCAUGCCUAACACAUGCAAGUCGAACGAUUGCCUUCGGGUGAUAGUGGCGCACGGGUGCGUAACGCGUGGGAAUCUGCCCUUAGGUUCGGAAUAACAGCUGGAAACGGCUGCUAAUACCGGAUGAUAUCGCGAGAUCAAAGAUUUAUCGCCUGAGGAUGGGCCCGCGUUGGAUUAGGUAGUUGGUGGGGUAAAGGCCUACCAAGCCGACGAUCCAUAGCUGGUCUGAGAGGAUGAUCAGCCACACUGGGACUGAGACACGGCCCAGACUCCUACGGGAGGCAGCAGUGGGGAAUAUUGGACAAUGGGCGCAAGCCUGAUCCAGCAAUGCCGCGUGAGUGAUGAAGGCCCUAGGGUUGUAAAGCUCUUUUACCCGGGAAGAUAAUGACUGUACCGGGAGAAUAAGCCCCGGCUAACUCCGUG